rnacentral:lncRNA from 1 species
CUUGGUAGCCAGGCGCACCGCCCUGCUGAUAGUUUGUAUAGCCUUGCGGAUUUGGUGCAUGGGGCUGGUAGUUUGGAGGACCUGCAUUUGGUGGUGGAGGUGGAGGAACAUUACCCUGAGCAUGGUGCAUCGGAGGAGCAUCACGAGGCGGGACUGGGCCCUGACCUGGUGGGGGAGGGCUGUUGAAUCCCUGGCCAGGAGGCACAUCUCUGUUCUGGAAGUUCUGCAUGUUCUCCCUUCUCCUCUCAAAAUUCCUUGACCUGUCAAAGUUUCUAGGCCUAUCAUUGCGCCGGCUUCUUUCAUUGGCACGCGCAUUGUUUCUCACCCACUCCUCGUGGUACUUAGGGUCAUAAGGAACGGCUUCCCCAUUUAUAAAAGGUUCUCCUGCAAUAAAAGACAAGGUGUCAAAUACACACCAAAUGCUCAUAGAUCACAUCUCUAUGAUUCCAUCACAUGGAUAAAGACAUUACAAAACAGAUAAAAAUAACUAUGAACUCAUAAAACUCUGCUAGAUAUAAUUAUGAACUAAGCAACAAACAGCACACUAAAAAUAACAUAUGUAUUCAAAUUCUCAACCACAGAAGAUGGUAACUGCCACGGACAGUCCGCAAUCACUACCACUACCAUGACAUAUAUACAACUACAAACAGAAGGUCCAAGUUACCAUUUACUCCCUCAAAACUAGAUAACUAAAUAGAUAUUACUGACUCAAGUUUAUAAAGUUUGCUUGAACUAGUUGAUUUCACUGCGAUGACUACUGAUAAUCAAGCAAUCCAACUUAUCAGAUGGUCUAGGGAAGAAAUAGCAAACUAAAUUUCAAGAUAUCCUAGUACUAGGAGAUUUCACAGGAUACAGACUCCAAAUAAAAAGUUCAGUGGUAUGCUAGAAUACAAGGUGACACCAGAGCAAUCAGCAGAAGAGUUCCAUGGUAAAACAUAUACUUGACGCAGAAAAAACAUAACCUCUAUAAAACAAGAGCCAGAAAUUAUCAGUUCAAAGCAUUGCACAGGGACAUUAGAAUUAAUCAGUUUGAUCAUAAUAUGGCAUCAUACACAUAGAGAGCAAUUAUCACAGAGGAUCUAUAUAACUAACACGGAAAUGAUAUAAAAACAGUUCAGAAAAGAAAGUGAUGAUAUGUAAUUCAAUAGGAAGAGAAUGAACAUUUACCUCCGUAGUCCUUAUUUCUGACAUCCAGGUAUGAGUCUGGAAGAACCCAGCGGACCUUGGGCAACUCUGGCAAAAUAAUUUAAUAGCACAGCGUUAAAGCAAGAACACAAGUGACCCCCAUAAAACAUCCCCUACAAAGAAUUUCAUACAACCAUAAAUACCUUUGAGUUUGUAGGAGAGUUCCUCAGAUACAAGAGCUCCAAAAGCAAAGUAAUGCCGAGUUGACACUGAGUAGAUCUUAUGCCUUGCUUCUUCCUCACUGGAAGAAAGGACACAUUUGGUUAAAAAGAAUUAUGAGCAAUUUAUAUAAUGGCCAAUACCCAGGGCAUAUAUCAAGAAAAUAAAUGAAUAAACUAAGCAAAUAAAUUGUUAUACAGUAGGACUUACAUGAUGCGAUAAUUAAAGAGAAACCAGAAAAACUAGCACAUGCUACCAUGAAGAUGGACGCCUAAAUAUGUCAGUGGUUGACAGAAUUAAUAGAACACAAUCAAUUUUCAAAACAGGGCAUGAAGCAUGAUUAAAAAACAUCGUGUUGAUAACAGGAGGGCAUGACCUCCCUUCUAAUUUACAAAUCAUCCCCAUAGAAAUACCAAUUUAUUCCCCCAUAAUAACUAACUACAUGCAACACCAUGAGACCAGAUUAAUAUGGAAACCGUAGCGAAUCAAAAGAAAAUGACAAAUACAUGUGGAAUCUAUAAAUAAAAUCCCAGUCACAUUUGUGAAAAUAAAAUAAAAUAUGCAUCAACAGUACAGAAUACACUAUCACUGAAACAGGUAUUUAUCAGCCAAUCCACCACAGAUGAAGUUAACAAAUAAUACCAUGGAAAAACUUCACAUAUCACCUAACUAUAAAUAUCCCCAAAUCCACUUCCUCCGUCCCAUUUCCUCACCCCCAAUCACGACCCAAUCACGAACUAACAGAUUAAAUCGAGUGUUUCCACGAAAUCCCACGGAUGCGAGAUGCGCGUGAGAGGGAGAAGGGGGGGAGGAUCGUUCAAGACGGCCAUAUAUACCUCCCAACCACCUGUGCGAGGGUUUUGAUGUAGCCGUCGAUAAUCUCGUCGCGGGUGGGCUCCGGGUUGGAGGGAUCGCCGGGGGGCGGCUCCACGACGACCAGCCAGUGCUCGAAGUCG